ACCCGCUGAACUUAAGCAUAUCAAUAAGCGGAGGAAAAGAAACUAACAAGGAUUCCCCUAGUAACUGCGAGUGAAGCGGGAAAAGCUCAAAUUUGAAAUCUGGCGGUCCUUGGCCGUCCGAGUUGUAAUCUAGAGAAGUGUUACCCGCGCUGGACCAUGUACAAGUCUCCUGGAAUGGAGCGUCAUAGAGGGUGAGAAUCCCGUCUCUGACAUGGACUACCAGGGCUUUGUGGUAUGCUCUCAAAGAGUCGAGUUGUUUGGGAAUGCAGCUCAAAAUGGGUGGUAAAUUCCAUCUAAAGCUAAAUAUUGGCGAGAGACCGAUAGCGAACAAGUACCGUGAGGGAAAGAUGAAAAGAACUUUGGAAAGAGAGUUAAACAGUACGUGAAAUUGCUGAAAGGGAAACGCUUGAAGUCAGUCUCGUUGGCCGGGGAUCAGCCUCACAAUUUGUGUGGUGUACUUUCUGGUUGAUGGGUCAGCAUCAAUUUUGACUGUUGGAAAAAGGCUUGGGGAAUGUGACAGCUCUGGCUGUGUUAUAGCCCCUUGUCAUAUACAGCAGUUGGGAUUGAGGAACUCAGCACGCCGCAAGGCCGGGUUUCGACCACGUUCGUGCUUAGGAUGCUGGCAUAAUGGCUUUAAGCGACCCGUCUUGAAACACGG
rnacentral:rRNA from 1 species